AUUGAACGCUGGCGGCAGGCCUAACACAUGCAAGUCGAGCGGCAGCGGGAAAGUAGCUUGCUACUUUUGCCGGCGAGCGGCGGACGGGUGAGUAAUGCCUGGGGAAUUGCCCAGUCGAGGGGGAUAACAGUUGGAAACGACUGCUAAUACCGCAUACGCCCUACGGGGGAAAGCAGGGGACCUUCGGGCCUUGCGCGAUUGGAUAUGCCCAGGUGGGAUUAGCUAGUUGGUGAGGUAAUGGCUCACCAAGGCGACGAUCCCUAGCUGGUCUGAGAGGAUGAUCAGCCACACUGGAACUGAGACACGGUCCAGACUCCUACGGGAGGCAGCAGUGGGGAAUAUUGCACAAUGGGGGAAACCCUGAUGCAGCCAUGCCGCGUGUGUGAAGAAGGCCUUCGGGUUGUAAAGCACUUUCAGCGAGGAGGAAAGGUCAGUAGCUAAUACCUGCUGGCUGUGACGUUACUCGCAGAAGAAGCACCGGCUAACUCCGUGCCAGCCGCCGCCGUAAGAC
rnacentral:rRNA from 1 species